GACCUGGCCUAGAGCUGGUGGAAAGCGUGUCAGAACGUCUCACAGGAAGAGCUCUGAGUCGGAGCUGAGUUGGAGUCCUCCGGUGCUCCUAGGUACCCAUGGAGAACGGAGAACACCAGCCUUCCUCAGCCUUAUCCCACCAGUCUCUACCGAGAGGACUUCAACCCCUAUCUAUCUGGACUUUUACCUCCGGCCUUGAUCGGCUCUCCAAGUCUACACCCAUCCUCUACCUUGGUCUAUGUGAUCCCUAUCUACAUAUUAGGCACACUUUGAUGGCCUCCCUCUGGUCCUCAGGACGAGCCUUAGAGCAUUGCAUUUAAAUGGAGUGACGAGUGUCAGCUGUACUUUGCUGUGUGAUUGUGAGCAGAAACCUCUUUGAACCGCUUUCGUCCUUAUAUGGGUGCACAAAAUAGGGGACGCACCAGCCUUGCUGGUGUCGUCAGUUACCAUCAACCUGUGCUCUGGGCCCACCCCAACCUAUAAAGUGGAUAUCUAUAAAGUGGAUGGGACUGUC
rnacentral:sRNA from 1 species